UAUUGGUCAAUGGGCUUACGCCUGAACCAGCCAAGUCGCGUGAGGGAAGACUGCCCUAUGGGUUGUAAACCUCUUUUGUCAGGGAGCAACGCCGGCUACGUGUAGCCGGACUGAGAGUACCUGAAGAAAAAGCAUCGGCUAACUCCGUGCCAGCAGCCGCGGUCAUACGGAGGAUGCGAGCGUUAUCCGGAUUUAUUGGGUUUAAAGGGUGCGUAGGCGGAAUGCCAAGUCAGCGGUAAAAUCGCGGGGCUCAACCUCGCUCCGCCGUUGAAACUGGGGGCCUUGAGUGGGCGAGAAGAAGGCGGAAUGCGUGGUGUAGCGGUGAAAUGCAUAGAUAUCACGCAGAACCCCGAUUGCGAAGGCAGCCUUCCGGCGCCCUACUGACGCUGAGGCACGAAAGUGCGGGGAUCG
rnacentral:rRNA from 1 species